rnacentral:rRNA from 1 species
UACGUAGGGGGCAAGCGUUGUCCGGAUUUAUUGGGCGUAAAGGGUGCGUAGGCGGCGCGGUAAGUCGGGUGUGAAAUCUCAGAGCUUAACUCCGAAACUGCAUUCGAUACUGCCGUGCUUGAGGACUGGAGAGGAGACUGGAAUUUACGGUGUAGCGGUGAAAUGCGUAGAUAUCGUAAGGAAGACCAGUGGCGAAGGCGGGUCUCUGGACAGUUCCUGACGCUGAGGCACGAAGGUCAGGGGAGCAAACGGG